rnacentral:pre_miRNA from 1 species
GCAUUCAUGGUCCAUAUCUGCAUUCAAUGACAAGCUGUAAUAACUGAUGGCCCAUAUCUGCUUGUCAUUGAAUACAGAUAUGGACCAUCAGUUAUUACAGCUUGUCAUUGAAUGCAGAUAUGGACCAU